rnacentral:sRNA from 4 species
AUGUACCGCUUGUACAUCCCGGUUCCGAGUGCCUCGGCCACGCCCGCGUGACCAUCGCUCGCCACGGUUUGUUCGCC